rnacentral:rRNA from 1 species
AGCGUACACGGUGGAUGCCCUGGCAGUCAGAGGCGAUGAAGGACGUGCUAAUCUGCGAUAAGCGUCGGUAAGGUGAUAUGAACCGUUAUAACCGGCGAUUUCCGAAUGGGGAAACCCAGUGUGAUUCGUCACACUAUCAUUAACUGAAUCCAUAGGUUAAUGAGGCGAACCGGGGGAACUGAAACAUCUAAGUACCCCGAGGAAAAGAAAUCAACCGAGAUUCCCCCAGUAGCGGCGAGCGAACGGGGAGGAGCCCAGAGCCUGAAUCAGUGUGUGUGUUAGUGGAAGCGUCUGGAAAGGCGCGCGAUACAGGGUGACAGCCCCGUACACAAAAAUGCACAUGCUGUGAGCUCGAUGAGUAGGGCGGGACACGUGGUAUCCUGUCUGAAUAUGGGGGGACCAUCCUCCAAGGCUAAAUACUCCUGACUGACCGAUAGUGAACCAGUACCGUGAGGGAAAGGCGAAAAGAACCCCGGCGAGGGGAGUGAAAAAGAACCUGAAACCGUGUACGUACAAGCAGUGGGAGCCUCUUUAUGGGGUGACUGCGUACCUUUUGUAUAAUGGGUCAGCGACUUAUAUUCUGUAGCAAGGUUAACCGAAUAGGGGAGCCGAAGGGAAACCGAGUCUUAACUGGGCGUUAAGUUGCAGGGUAUAGACCCGAAACCCGGUGAUCUAGCCAUGGGCAGGUUGAAGGUUGGGUAACACUAACUGGAGGACCGAACCGACUAAUGUUGAAAAAUUAGCGGAUGACUUGUGGCUGGGGGUGAAAGGCCAAUCAAACCGGGAGAUAGCUGGUUCUCCCCGAAAGCUAUUUAGGUAGCGCCUCGUGAACUCAUCUCCGGGGGUAGAGCACUGUUUCGGCAAGGGGGUCAUCCCGACUUACCAACCCGAUGCAAACUGCGAAUACCGGAGAAUGUUAUCACGGGAGACACACGGCGGGUGCUAACGUCCGUCGUGAAGAGGGAAACAACCCAGACCGCCAGCUAAGGUCCCAAAGUCAUGGUUAAGUGGGAAACGAUGUGGGAAGGCCCAGACAGCCAGGAUGUUGGCUUAGAAGCAGCCAUCAUUUAAAGAAAGCGUAAUAGCUCACUGGUCGAGUCGGCCUGCGCGGAAGAUGUAACGGGGCUAAACCAUGCACCGAAGCUGCGGCAGCGACGCUUAUGCGUUGUUGGGUAGGGGAGCGUUCUGUAAGCCUGUGAAGGUGUGCUGUGAGGCAUGCUGGAGGUAUCAGAAGUGCGAAUGCUGACAUAAGUAACGAUAAAGCGGGUGAAAAGCCCGCUCGCCGGAAGACCAAGGGUUCCUGUCCAACGUUAAUCGGGGCAGGGUGAGUCGACCCCUAAGGCGAGGCCGAAAGGCGUAGUCGAUGGGAAACAGGUUAAUAUUCCUGUACUUGGUGUUACUGCGAAGGGGGGACGGAGAAGGCUAUGUUGGCCGGGCGACGGUUGUCCCGGUUUAAGCGUGUAGGCUGGUUUUCCAGGCAAAUCCGGAAAAUCAAGGCUGAGGCGUGAUGACGAGGCACUACGGUGCUGAAGCAACAAAUGCCCUGCUUCCAGGAAAAGCCUCUAAGCAUCAGGUAACAUCAAAUCGUACCCCAAACCGACACAGGUGGUCAGGUAGAGAAUACCAAGGCGCUUGAGAGAACUCGGGUGAAGGAACUAGGCAAAAUGGUGCCGUAACUUCGGGAGAAGGCACGCUGAUAUGUAGGUGAAGUCCCUCGCGGAUGGAGCUGAAAUCAGUCGAAGAUACCAGCUGGCUGCAACUGUUUAUUAAAAACACAGCACUGUGCAAACACGAAAGUGGACGUAUACGGUGUGACGCCUGCCCGGUGCCGGAAGGUUAAUUGAUGGGGUCAGCGCAAGCGAAGCUCUUGAUCGAAGCCCCGGUAAACGGCGGCCGUAACUAUAACGGUCCUAAGGUAGCGAAAUUCCUUGUCGGGUAAGUUCCGACCUGCACGAAUGGCGUAAUGAUGGCCAGGCUGUCUCCACCCGAGACUCAGUGAAAUUGAACUCGCUGUGAAGAUGCAGUGUACCCGCGGCAAGACGGAAAGACCCCGUGAACCUUUACUAUAGCUUGACACUGAACAUUGAGCCUUGAUGUGUAGGAUAGGUGGGAGGCUUAGAAGUGUGGACGCCAGUCUGCAUGGAGCCGACCUUGAAAUACCACCCUUUAAUGUUUGAUGUUCUAACGUUGACCCGUAAUCCGGGUUGCGGACAGUGUCUGGUGGGUAGUUUGACUGGGGCGGUCUCCUCCUAAAGAGUAACGGAGGAGCACGAAGGUUGGCUAAUCCUGGUCGGACAUCAGGAGGUUAGUGCAAUGGCAUAAGCCAGCUUGACUGCGAGCGUGACGGCGCGAGCAGGUGCGAAAGCAGGUCAUAGUGAUCCGGUGGUUCUGAAUGGAAGGGCCAUCGCUCAACGGAUAAAAGGUACUCCGGGGAUAACAGGCUGAUACCGCCCAAGAGUUCAUAUCGACGGCGGUGUUUGGCACCUCGAUGUCGGCUCAUCACAUCCUGGGGCUGAAGUAGGUCCCAAGGGUAUGGCUGUUCGCCAUUUAAAGUGGUACGCGAGCUGGGUUUAGAACGUCGUGAGACAGUUCGGUCCCUAUCUGCCGUGGGCGCUGGAGAACUGAGGGGGGCUGCUCCUAGUACGAGAGGACCGGAGUGGACGCAUCACUGGUGUUCGGGUUGUCAUGCCAAUGGCACUGCCCGGUAGCUAAAUGCGGAAGAGAUAAGUGCUGAAAGCAUCUAAGCACGAAACUUGCCCCGAGAUGAGUUCU